UAGUCCACGCCGUAAACGAUGAGCACUAGUUGUAGCGGGCAUUAACCCUCGCUGCGAUGUAGCUAACGCAUUAAGUGCUCCGCCUGGGGAGUACGGUCGCAAGACUAAAACUCAAAGGAAUUGACGGGGGCCCGCACAAGCGGUGGAUUAUGUGGUUUAAUUCGAAGAAACGCGAAAAACCUUACCUAGGUUUGAAAUCCCGAGAACUCUCCCGAAAAGGAGAGGUGCCCUUCGGGGAAUUCGGUGACAGGCGCUGCAUGGCUGUCGUCAGCUCGUGUUGUGAAAUGUUGGGUUAAGUCUCGCAACGAGCGCAACCCCUAUUCUUAGUUGCCACCAUUAAGUUGGGCACUCUAAGGAGACUGCCGGGGUUAACCCGGAGGAAGGUGGGGAUGACGUCAAGUCCUCAUGGCCCUUAUACCUAGGGCUACACACGUAAUACAAUGGACAGUACAAAGGGAUGCGAACCCGCGAGGGGAAGCUAAUCUCAAAAAGCUGUUCUCAGUCCGGAUUGGAGUCUGCAACUCGACUCCAUGAAGUUGGAA
rnacentral:rRNA from 1 species